AAUUUUUAUGGUGUAUAAACAUAUUAUAUUUUCAUUAUAAAGCUGAGUUAUAAACUCUAAAAAU
rnacentral:tRNA from 1 species